UACGUAGGUGGCAAGCGUUGUCCGGAUUUAUUGGGUUUAAAGGGUGCGUAGGCGGUCUUAUAAGUCAGUGCUGAAAUAUCCCGGCUUAACCGGGAGGGUGGCAUUGAUACUGCAGGACUUGAGUAUAGUCGAGGUAGGCGGAAUUGACGGUGUAGCGGUGAAAUGCUUAGAUAUGACAUAGAACACCUAUUGCGAAGGCAGCUUACUACGCAGAUAUUGACGCUCAUGCACGAAAGCGUGGGGAUCAAACAGG
rnacentral:rRNA from 1 species